rnacentral:tRNA from 1 species
GCACUGGUGGUUCAGUGAUAGAAUUCUCACUUUCCAUGUGGGAGACCCAGGUUUGAUUCCUGGCCAGUACG